rnacentral:rRNA from 1 species
GUCCAGACUCCUACGGGAGGCAGCAGUGGGGGAUAUUGCACAAUGGGGGAAACCCUGAUGCAGCGACGCCGCGUGUGGGAAGACGGCCCUCUGGAUUGUAAACCACUGUCCCCAGGGACGAAGAUGACGGUACCUGGGGAGGAAGCUCCGGCUAACUACGUGCCAGCAGCCGCGGUAAUACGUAGGGAGCGAGCGUUGUCCGGAAUUACUGGGUGUAAAGGGAGCGUAGGCGGGACUGCAAGUUGGGUGUCAAAUCUGCCGGCUCAACCGGUAGCCGCACUCAAAACUGCAGUUCUUGAGUGAAGUAGAGGCAGGCGGAAUUCCUAGUGUAGCGGUGAAAUGCGUAGAUAUUAGGCGGAACACCAGUGGCGAAGGCGGCCUGCUGGGCUUUUACUGACGCUGAGGCUCGAAAGUGUGGGGAGCAAACAGGAUUAGAUACCCGUGUAC